rnacentral:piRNA from 2 species
GUGAUUCAAUUUUAAGAAGGUGUCU